UACGGGCGAAAAGCCUAAAACUCAAAAGACUUGGCGGUGCUUCACACACAACUUAGAGGAGCCUGUCCUAUAAUCGAUACUCCACGAUAAACCUGGCCGCCCUUAGCCCAAUUCAGCCUAUAUACCGCCGUCAUCAACUUACCCUAUGAAGGUAAAAUAGUAAGUAAAAAAGCUUAACACAAAAACGUCAGGUCAAGGUGUAGCUUAUGGGGCGGAAGUGAUGGGCUACAUUUUUAAACAAAACACACGGCAAAAUAUUUUGAAACAAAUAUUAGAAGGAGGAUUUAAUAGUAAAAUAGGCAAGAAAGCCUAUUUUAAACCUGCUCUG
rnacentral:rRNA from 1 species